UCCUCUUGUGCUGGUCCAUUACCGUCUGAUUCCCUGUGUUCCUGGUGUCCCUGACAGUUGGUUUGGUUCGGUAUGUUAACCCUGCUCAGCAGCGCUUUUUGUUGGUUUGAGUAUUUGUGACGGGGUCCCGCCGAGAAAAGAUGCAGAGGAGCCAAGGUGAGGAGGAUUGGUCUUUAUUGCCGACACAGUUGCUGCACGCAGGGCCAUGCAGCACACAGCACAGAUGCAGCACAGAUAAAAACCCUUUGUGACUUGGAACCACCUGCCUCCUCAUCUCUGCGUUUGGGUCAUUCAAUCCCCUCCAUUGUGACAGUACAGACAAGACACAGUGACGGCUGAGGGAAAGCUCUGACCCCCAACCCACCACCCACAUCACCCUGACUUGGCUGUACCAGGUUUGAGAAGAUGCUCAUCAUGACCAAACGUCUUUCACAGAGAAGCUGGAGUGGUCUACCACUAAGACUAAACAACACUUUGUGAUGUCUGAUUUGAAACACCAAGACAUUUUACAUCAUCCAAAUGUUUGCUCUGGUCGUUUGGUAACAAAACCUGCCUAGAUGUUAUUUUAUUUAUAACAUUUCUAUACUAUAUGUAUAGGUUGUAAAAACAUUUAAGCCCAGGUUUAUACCAUAAAAGGUCAGUUUUUUUGUUUUGUUUUUUACAGAUUAUGAGAUCAUUGUUUUGUUUCUAACAAGAUUUGUAAGAAUUUGUUAUUCACCAUUACAGAGCCUAUAUGUGGUGGUUGUACAACUUUAAGACCCACUCUGAUGAAAAUUGUGUUUUUGGUGUUUAUAACAUGUUCAUGUGGAAUU